rnacentral:lncRNA from 10 species
GCGGUUCACGCUGCGCUCGGGCCUCUGCCGGGAGGGCGCCCUGGCGCCAAACCCGGGCGGGCAGGGGGGUGGAGAGCCGAUUGAGUUUAUUCCCAUUCAGAAUUUAGAGGCUGGUGGAGACAGAGAGUCUCCUAAAUGGAUGCAAGUCUCCUGAAAGUCUGGGCCGGAAGCCUCGAAACUUUCUGCCACGCAAAGCCCCAGCUAGUCUCCAGGGCUCGGUCCUGGUUCCCUUUGUGCAGGCCCGGAAGUGUCCGCCCGGUUUUCCCACUGCCUGGAGGGGCCCAGGGUCGCGGAUAGACUCGGACAAGGCUCCGUUUACUUUCAGUUUGUCUUAGUUGACUAAUGGCGGGACUGGUUGUAAUGCGUGCUCUGAGAUUUUCUCCAGGAUUUGUCACUUUAAUUUUGCAAUAUGAGAAAGAGAAGCUAACAAAGGAAAGCCUCUUCAAAAAAUGGGAUUUCCUUGGCCUUAGCAGUUCUGGUGUGUUCCACUGCCAACACUAGGUAGGAAAAAUCUGACUUGUGAUGUUGUGAUUAAAUAGCGGCCUGGCUCAAACUGCCCAAAGAGAGGGAAUUCACUAUGAGUUCCACAGUUUUAUCUUGAGGAAGAAACUAGCAGAAACACAGAAUUUUAGAGCCUUAGAGCUCUCAUUACAAAAUGGCCCUCACUAUAAAGUGGCAUAUACUGAACCCAGCUUAGAUGUGUGUACUGAGCCCAGUACAAAUGUAUAUAGUGAACCCAGAGCUCUCAUUACAAAAUGCCUCUCACUAUAAAGUGGCAUAUACUGAACCCAGCUUAGGUGUGUGUACUGAGCCCAGUACAAAUGUAUAUACUGAGCCCAGAGCUAUUCAGCUUGUUGGUGGUGGGGGUGGUUAGGAUUAGAUGACAACACCUAUUCUCGAAUGAGUUAGUCUAUGAUGCUGUGUCCUAGAUUGUGCUCAAGAUUAAAAACCUGAUUAAAAGACCUUUUUGACUGAAGAGUGUUCUUAAACCUUAGCAUCCAAUCUGCUUUAAACAGGUUGCAAUUAAACAUAAUGCUAUGUGUUCAUUGUUAAUUGCAGACAGGAAAUGUCCAGUGUUGAUAGAAAUUACCUCUAAAGUCUUGAUUCUGGAAGAAGCUAGAGAAAUGGCUCUUGGAUUUCUAAUACUGGCACUUCUUUGGUGACUGUUUCCCAUGAAUUACCUCAACUUGCACUGAAAGCCACAAGAAAACCAAAAAAUGCAAACUACAAGCCUGAAUAUGCCUACAGAUUACCUGUGUCUUUAAUGUGUCUUGAGCAGUUUGGAUACAUGCUUGAUAUUUUGUGGCAACAAAAUACUAGUGCCAGACCUGUAUACCUAUGUAACAAACCUGCACGUUCUGCACAUGUAUCCCAGAACAUAACAUAUAAUUUUAAAAAAUUCAAAAAUAAAUAAAUAAAAUUUAAAGACUCAAAAAAAAAAAUACUAGUGCCAGGACUCCACUUUUAGUAUCACUUUUCAUAUUUUAGUAUUUAGUAUUAUCAUUUUAUCUUUCAAUGUAUUAGUGAAGCUUCUACGGUAUUGUUCUGUCUUUUCAAAUCAACAGGUGAUAGUAGGAAAGCAGGAAUAAUCUCCCAGGAAUCAUUAUUUUAUUGAGAGUUAUUAGGGAGUAAU